rnacentral:tRNA from 1 species
GGGGUUGUGGCUCAGUGUUAAGAGCACUCACCUCACAGUGUGAAGCACUGGGUUCGAACCUCAGCACCACA